rnacentral:rRNA from 1 species
AACGCUGGCGGCGUGCCUAAUACAUGCAAGUAGAACGCUGAAGCUUGGUGCUUGCACCGAGCGGAUGAGUUGCGAACGGGUGAGUAACGCGUAGGUAACCUGCCUGGUAGCGGGGGAUAACUAUUGGAAACGAUAGCUAAUACCGCAUAAUAGCAGUUGUUGCAUGACAACUGUUUAAAAGGUGCAAUUGCAUCACUACCAGAUGGACCUGCGUUGUAUUAGCUAGUUAGUGGGGUAACGGCUCACCAAGGCGACGAUACAUAGCCGACCUGAGAGGGUGAUCGGCCACACUGGGACUGAGACACGGCCCAGACUCCUACGGGAGGCAGCAGUAGGGAAUCUUCGGCAAUGGACGGAAGUCUGACCGAGCAACGCCGCGUGAGUGAAGAAGGUUUUCGGAUCGUAAAGCUCUGUUGUAAGAGAAGAACGAGUGUGAGAGUGGAAAGUUCACAC